GCGCCUGUAGCUCAGUUGGUUAGAGCACUUGGUUUACACCCAGGGGGUCGGGAGUUCGAGUCUCUCCGGGCGCACCA
rnacentral:tRNA from 1 species